AGGAUUUGUCCAACUCUAGUCCUGGAUUGCUGCAUUUGGAGGAGGUGGUAUUAGAAUGAACAGGACGAGAGAUCAGAGCCCUGAGUGAGGUGCUUGGUGCGGGAACAAAAGGAGGCCAACUCUGCAUCUUGGCAUUGGGCCCAACAUUUGCAAUGGAGCAUCUUGAAACUGCCAUCGCCUUUCCUGGGCAGAGACAAGAAUCUCUUCCCCUCCUGACCAGGCUGCACAGUUCCUUUCCUAUGGUGUGAAUUUCUCAGCAUGCCAGACUGCCGCAACAGAUCUGCUUUGCCUGCCUGCUGUGGAGACUACGAACAGCAGGAUUGCCACAGU